ensembl:lncRNA
UACUGAAGUACUAGUGGCAGUAUUAUUUACCAAGAGGUUAUUAUAUUGAAUAUUGAUCAACCUGGUAUCACCUUUUUCUGGUAGCUGAAACAUUAUACAGCACGAAGUUCUCUCCCAUCAACCUAGCAAAGGGGGUCAGGGAUGUAUAUGCCCCUUGCUCAUUGGACAGCACCCAUUGAAACCAAGACCAGAGAUUAUGCUUGUCAGUCUUAUUCUCAAAACAGUAGAAUUGCUAUGAACUGGCAUGGGUACUGGCCAGGAUCUGGCAAUAGCCCACAGGGUGAGCGAAUUAACCUGUAUUACCAUUCCCAGUAGUAAUAGUAGGGUUCGUAGUCUCAUCUUCAGGAAGAGCAGAAGGCAAUUUUUGAGUCAAACACUCAGGUACCCAAAUUGGAUUUUCUUGAUUCUGCGGAAAAACACAAAUCGCUCCCCUAGAUCUCGAAAUCACGGGAUCUGGGCCACGCCAUUCAUCAGUUAAGACAUCCUUCCACUUUACUUCUACAUUAGUUAUAGGUGUAGUAGCAGCAUGGCGAUCCAUGGCAGAACGGCCAUGCGCAUCCAAAAUUAAGAAAUUUAGAGUAAAAAGAGCUAAAGAAAGUUGUUCUUUUGGUGUUCAGCUGCUGGCAAUUCCCCCUUUUUGUUUUUGUAUAAGCUCUUUUAAGGUACGAUGUACUCUUUCCACAAUUCCUUGACCUUGGGGAUUGUAUGGCAAUCUUGUAGUAUGUUUGACCUGCAUUGUCUGGCAAAAUGCCUGAAAGGACUUUGCAGUGUAGGCAGGCCUGUUGUCUGUCUUGAGACUAUCAGGCUUUCCCCAGGCUGCCCAUGCCUCUAAGCAAUGGCUAAUGGCAUUACGAGCCUUUUCACCAGUCAUCAGAGUAGCAUGUAUAAUACCGGAAUAGGUAUCAACAGAAACAUGAGCAUAUUUUAAAUUUCCAAAUUGAGAUAUGUGUGUGACAUCCAUCUGCCAAAGUUUUAGCUGGAUCAGACCACGAGGGUUAAUACCACAUGAGGAGGGUGGUGAAAUUGAACACAAUUUUGGCAACGUAACACCACAUCACAAGCUGCAGCUCUAGAGAUUUUUAAAUUUUUGUUGAAGAGUAAAAGCAGGUACAUGAAACUUUUGAUGAAAUCCUCUAGCGAGAUCAACCGGAGUGGCAUGAAAAAUAAACUCUCUACGAGUACUAGCAUCCACCAGGGUGUUAUUACUGGUCAUGGGACCAGGCAAAUUAGUAUGGGCUCGAAUAUGUUGUAUAAAAAUUUUAUUUUUUCUGGCCCAAAUCAAAUUUUGUAAUUCUAAAAGAAUUUGACAUACGGUACUACUUGACCAAAUUGGCCCUGCAAUUUCAAGUGAGUGCACAGCAUUAACUACAUAAGCAGAAUCAGAAAUUAAAUUAAAAUAAUCAUGAAAUCUUUUGAAAACUUUCAAUACAAUUUUAUAUUCUGUAAUUUAGGGGGUACCUGGACUGUAUUGAAUUAAUACUGGUUCUUGAGAAUCAACCAUAUAGGCACCUACACCUGUUUUGGAGCCAUCUGUAUAAAUAUCUAACAAAGGCUCUGGCAAAGGCUCUGAGGCAGUGAUCUUAGGAAAGAUCACUGGAUGUUCAGUAAAAAAAAAAAUUGUAGCAAAGGAUCCUUAGGAUAAUGAUUGUCAAACUCUCCAUCAAAACUACAGCGUAAUAUGGCCCAAUCAUCUAUCAAGGCACACAAUGUUUCUAUUUGAGCUGUUGUAUAUGGUAUAAUAAUUUUCUUGGGUAAAAUACCAAAAUGCUGAAUACAAGAUUUAACGCCUAACACAGCAAGCUGUGCAACAGCAGAAGUGUAAUAUUCAAGGGUCUUAUUUGGAGAAGUAUGGGGAUAAAUCCAAAGAAGUGGACCUUGUUGCCAUAGCACUCCUGUAGGCUGACAAAAGGUUCUUAGUAUACACAAAAGCAGAUCUUCCUUUUCCUUGUACCUUCUUAGCAUUGCCUUUUCUAAUCUUCUACUUUCCUCCAAUGUUACAUUUUUUUAAACCAUAUCCAAUAACUUAAAAGCCAAUAGUCCAUAACCAAGGCAUGUAGAGAAUAUUCAUUCAUUUAAAACCAAUCAGAAAACAAAAAUGAAGUGGCUACACAUACCUUUAAAUCAAUCACCAUUUUUACUUUUUCUAGCUGUAGUUUUAAGAGAAACACCUUGUCACCUGUUGAGUCCAAUAAUCACAGUCAAAGAUUUUUCUAAGAGAGACAGCAAUCAGUUCCGUUACCUUAGAAGCUGUGAAGCUCCUUGUGUCUUUAGGAUCGGCUAGUGUAAACAUUUAGCCAGCCCCCUGGGGAGCUUGCCCAGCCGACUUAGGCUUCUAGCUACAGAUGCAGGCUCCAAAAGCCAAUUGAAACUUUUUAUUUAUUUGUUCCUUUCUUGAAAGGAGUUAAAGCUACAUCAAUGGGUGAAUCAACCAGCAUUUAAAAUUUUAACCUUUUCUUUUAAACAUGAAACACAAAACAUUCAAGCAAGGAGAAGCAAAACCCAGACAUAAAUUGACAUACAUGGACAGCUUGGUGCACCAAGGACAGACAAUAGACACAGAGGAAAAGAACUAGAUGGUGUUCCACCAAAAGGACCCAAACAUCCUACCUAAAGAACCCAGAACCAGAAAUAAGCACUUCUCCAAUAGGAGCCAGCAAGGAGGCAAGACGUCUCCCACCUCCUUCUGUUCCCAGGAGAGCUCCAAAAAGUUUAAGCUCAUUUCCUUCUUUUGCCAAAGCAUCUGUGGAGAGUUCGGGAGGAAUGUUUUUCUCAACCCCAUUCUCUCUCUUGUCCACGGUGUAAACUGUCUCUAGUCAGGGUCCAAAGACUAGAAGCAUCUAUGAGAAUCAACUUUGCUUCUCUAGAUUUUAACAUAACUCUAAAAGAACACAUACACAAAAACAUUUUACCAUUAUUACCUUGUCCACUACCACUACCCCAAAUCUUUAUCUUUGCACAUGCUUUCAGUUUCUGUGAUCCUUCUGAAUUCUGCUUACUGGGGCCUUUAAAAUCUGUAUCCACCACCUGAGUUCCCAUUCGAGGGGUCAAUAUGAGUCUGGUGGUCGAACUGAGGUCGAGUCCUGCGCUUCCCUUGUUGCUCUGCGGGAGGCCCGGGACCCGAUGGUUCUACCUUUAGUUUCACUUUCUCUAAGCUGUCAGUGAUGCUUUCUAGAUUGUCUGACAUUUCUAAGGUCAAGGCUUUUAAAGAAUAUAUCUUAUUUGUUUCCUGGUCCUGAUUAUCCUCUUUUUUUAUCUCUGCCUUCUCUCUGUUCCUUUUAUCUCCUUUUCUUUUCUUUUUUUCUUUGGAGACCUUUUCUCCCUCUGACAUACUUUGUUGCUCUGCAAGGACCCUCUGAUCUGUCCUAAUGGCUCUAACGGCUUCCUCACAUUGUUUAUCCUCUAAGCAGGCAGGGACCAUUUGCCAAAGAGGUUUUGGUCCGGGCUUAAGCUUGCCGUCUGUGGCUUCUCUAUCCCACACAAAGAAAAAAAGAAACAAAAUUACCAGCCUUGUCCACAAAGGAUCCAUAACUUUAGGUUUCUUCACAGUGGCUCUCCACCUAGGCCCAUAUCUUUCUUCCUCAUAUAUGGCUGCCUCUUCCUCUAAUUCCUCCUCCUCGGACUCUGACAACUCUUGCUCAGAGUCACUGCCAGCCAGUUCUAAGGCUUCUAAUUCUUUUAAUGGAUACAAAGUAUCCUCUCCGGAUGACUUGUACUUCGUCCUCCGGGGCACUCUUAUUUUUUCCUCCAGCGGCAUUUUUUCUGCCUUUUGUAUCUCUUUCACUUUUGUUUUAGUAACCUUUUUCUUUUUGCGAGCUCCUAAUUUGAGCUCCUAAUUUCUCACUCUGCUCCGUUUCUGCCUCUGCUCCGUUUCUGACAUGCUCUCUUAAAUCCAAAAAGGGGCAUGCCUCUCGAAGCCUAAUUUCUCACUCUGCUCCGUUUCUGACAUGCUCUCUUCCAAAAAGGGGCAUGCCUCUCGAAGCUUACCUUUUAAUUUACCUUCUCGCAGUUCUGAAUCCUCUUCAGCACACUGAAGGGUCCCCUGGCACCGGCGAUGUUGGUUCCCGGGUCUCGGCACCACUUGUCGCGCGCCCAAUGUCCCGCCAGCAAGAACGACGCGUGGCAACAGGAUUCUUCUGCGAGCAAGCCUUUACUGUGUUACAGCUCUUCUUAGUGUUACAGCUCUCUUAGUGUUACAGCUCUCUUGAACAGGGAC